rnacentral:rRNA from 1 species
UACGUAGGGAGCAAGCGUUAUCCGGAUUUAUUGGGUGUAAAGGGUGCGUAGACGGGAAUUUAAGUUAGUUGUGAAAUCCCUCGGCUUAACUGAGGAACUGCAACUAAAACUGAAUUUCUUGAGUGCGGGAGAGGAAAGUGGAAUUCCUAGUGUAGCGGUGAAAUGCGUAGAUAUUAGGAGGAACACCAGUGGCGAAGGCGGCUUGCUGGACGAUGACUGACGUUGAGGCUCGAAAGCGUGGGUAUCAAACAGG